GCUUUUAAAGAAAAAAGAAUAUCACUGGCCUUAGGAGCCAACUUUCUUGGUGCAAAUCCAAGUAAAAGCU
rnacentral:tRNA from 1 species